GAGUUAACAUAAAAGCUUAAGCAUGUCAUACUUCUGCCUCUCAAUACACACAACUAUUUCAGUGUUCUGUUACCUAAUAGGCAUGACAAGCAUCCACGCUAUUACCCAAUAGGCAUGUCAAUGCUUCCACUUCUAUUGUCCAAUAGACAUUUCAAAGCAUCUACCUUUUAAAUGUGAAUCAAAGAGAUGCUGUUACAUUUUGAUAUCUGACAAUCUCAUAAUAUAACAAAGUGCCUUCAAGUAACAACUCGCAGCAUUUCUUCGUUGCGGCCAGGAAUCAAGCACAAACACAAAUCCCAGUCUAAGUAUUUUGGACAAAUAAAUUCACCCAGCUCCGCCGGCGUGCUCUUUGCGUCGAGCUCGACCACAUGCAGCUUCAGCAGCGGCAGCACACGAACAGCGGCGGCAACAAACACGGCCUCCAUCGCCAUGGUGACAUUUUUGCUUCCUCUUUCUUCUUACCUUUCAUCCCAGUCCAUGUUGCUGCCAUUACUCUUUACCUCCACGAGAACAAGGCGUCCAGUGCUAGAGCAUUAAGACGAAAAUGGUUAAGAGUUAAGACAGAAACAUUUCUCCCCAGAAAAUUGAAGUAAACGAACAGACAUAUGGUGGCCUCGCUUCAGGGGAGCAAAUCAGCAAACACAUGGACUGCAUAAUAACCAACCAGGUGGCGGAUGUACACCAUCGAAAUCGACCUAAUUGUCAAAAAAAGAGAGGCAAAUGCAAGAAGAACAGCACAAUCCAUAGAAGGUCGGCGGAGCGCCAAUGCCAGAGCUCCCGGAGGCAGACGAACAGAUAUGUUGCCAUCAAGGGCCGAAGGCAGAGGAGGUCUCCUCAGCGGCGCCGGCGCGCGGCGAAGACCUGGAGGCGCCCGAGGUCUCCUAGGCCAGAACCUCGUGCUCCUGGAGGAAGAUGGGGAGCGCCGAGCGCCGUGGCUGCUGCUGUUCUUGAGCACGAGCUGCUGUGGUUGAGCUCCAGCUCGUCGUCCCGGUGAUGGUUGUUGAGGCGGAAGCGAGAAUUAGGUCGGCGAUCUCGUGCAUCUAGGGCCGGCCAGGUAUCGUUGUGGGCCUGGUUGGGUUUAAAACUGUUUUUUGAUUUUUGGCUUAUAAGCCACAAAAACAUCUAAAUAGUUGGUUUUGACUUUGACUUUUUGCUUAUACCAUCAUCUAACAAUAUAUCAAGUCAAAUGUCAAAAGCCAAAACCGAAAGAACAUAAUUUGGUGCUUUUGUGGCUUAUAAGCCAAAAAUUAAAAAGCAGUUUUAAGACCAACCAAACAGGACCUAAAUAUCAAGAGUUGGUACGGGAUACAAAUACAACACGUAGAAAAACUACAUCUAUAUGUACACAUACUAUGUUUAUCAAUUGCAACUUCGAACAGCCAUGGCCACAGGCCUUGUGUGCCUUGAGCUUUACAAGGUUCUGUCUGGUGGCCACACAGUCGAAGACUAUCGCAAUACAUUUGCUAACCUUGCAAUACCGAUGUUCUCCAUGGCCGAACCUGUUCCGCCCAAGGUGAUCAAGCAUCAAGACAUGAGAUGGACCGUGUGGGACCGAUGGUCUAUCCAGGGCAACAUCACUGUUGCAGAACUACUAAAAUGGUUAAGCGACAAGGGUCUGAGUGCUUACAGUGUUUCUUGCGGGACAUCGCUGUUGUAAAAUACCAUGUUCACGAGGCACAAGGAUCGACUGAACAGGAAGAUGGUGGAUGUCGCCCAGGAGGUGGCUA
rnacentral:lncRNA from 1 species